GCCUCGAGCGCGCUGUUCUCCGAGCUGAUAAAGAAUCGCGGCGGACUGUCGCGACCACGAGAAGUUUUUUAACGAGCAUUUGGGCGCGUGCAGUGACACGAUCAAUAUAACAGCACUGAGAAGUGCAGGUAGCAGAGGUGUUCGGAAGGGUGGGAGAGUACAGAUCAGUGCGGGUUCCAUAUGGGAGGCUGAAAGGCAGGGGCAUCUGACCCGGAGGAGGGCGUGACUCAGCACGGGGGAGCCCGUGAAGGAAAGGGCGUGAGGUUUCUUUUUUUGUUUUUUUUCGUCAAAAGGGGUCACCCCGGCAACCGUCUCCCAGGCAACACACUUGACUUGACUUCCUUGUCGGGGAAGAACAGCUGGACCCUGUCCAUCGCCGCUGACCUCCGGAGGCUUGGCUUUCCACCGAUCAGCGUUCAGGAGGGGGACACCUGGGAAAGCGCGGACGGCUCGGAUUGGCUCGGUAAAAUAAAGAGAGGAACCCAUCGCUACGCGGGGACAUUAUUAAUAUUAAUAUAAUUAUUAAUAACAAUAAUCUCUGCACAGCGCUGUUCUCCAUGUGCUGUACACGUCCAGGACUGUGUUCAGAGGC